CCUACGGGUGGCAGCAGUGGGGAAUAUUGCGCAAUGGGGGCAACCCUGACGCAGCAACGCCGCGUGAUUGAAGACGGCCUUCGGGUUGUAAAGAUCUUUAAUCGGGGACGAAUUUUGACGGUACCCGAAGAAUAAGCUCCGGCUAACUACGUGCCAGCAGCCGCGGUAAUACGUAGGGAGCAAGCGUUAUCCGGAUUUACUGGGUGUAAAGGGCGUGUAGGUGGUUUGACAAGUUAGUAGCGCAACUCCGGAGCUCAACUUCGGAACUACUACUAAAACUGUUGGACUUGAGUGCAGGAGGGGCAAUCGGAAUUCCUAGUGUAGCGGUGGAAUGCGUAGAUAUUAGGAGGAACACCAGUGGCGAAGGCGGAUUGCUAGACUGUAACUGACACUGAGGCACGAAAGCGUGGGGAGCAAACAGGAUUAGAUACCCCUGUAGUC
rnacentral:rRNA from 1 species